CGAUUCCUACGGGAGGCAGCAGUGGGGAAUUUUGGACAAUGGGCGCAAGCCUGAUCCAGCCAUGCCGCGUGAGUGAAGAAGGCCUUCGGGUUGUAAACCUCUUUCAGCAGGGAAGAAGCGAAAGUGACGGUACCUGUAGAAGAAGGACCGGCUAACUACGUGCCAGCAGCCGCGGUAAUACGUAGGGUCCAAGCGUUGUCCGGAAUUAUUGGGCGUAAAGAGCUCGUAGGCGGCGUGUCGCGUCGGAUGUGAAAGCCCGGGGCUUAACUCCGGGUCUGCAUUCGGUACGGGCAUGCUGGAGUUCGGUAGGGGAGACUGGAAUUCCUGGUGUAGCGGUGAAAUGCGCAGAUAUCAGGAGGAACACCGGUGGCGAAGGCGGGUCUCUGGGCCGAUACUGACGCUGAGGAGCGAAAGCGUGGGGAGCGAACAGGAUUAGAUACCCUGGUAGUCCACGCUGUAAACGUUGGGAACUAGGUGUGGGGUGCAUUCCACGUGCUCUGCGCCGCAGCUAACGCAUUAAGUUCCCCGCCUGGGGAGUACGGCCGCAAGGCUAAAACUCAAAGGAAUUGACGGA
rnacentral:rRNA from 1 species